AUUGAACGCUGGCGGCAUGCCUUACACAUGCAAGUCGAACGGUAACAGGUCUUCGGAUGCUGACGAGUGGCGAACGGGUGAGUAAUACAUCGGAACGUGCCUAGUAGUGGGGGAUAACUACUCGAAAGAGUGGCUAAUACCGCAUGAGAUCUACGGAUGAAAGCAGGGGAUCGCAAGACCUUGUGCUACUAGAGCGGCCGAUGGCAGAUUAGGGAGUUGGUGGGAUAAAAGCUUACCAAGCCGACGAUCUGUAGCUGGUCUGAGAGGACGAUCAGCCACACUGGGACUGAGACACGGCCCAGACUCCUACGGGAGGCAGCAGUGGGGAAUUUUGGACAAUGGGCGAAAGCCUGAGCCAGCAAUGCCGCGUGCAGGAUGAAGGCCUUCGGGUUGUAAACUGCUUUUGUACGGAACGAAAAGCCCCGGGUUAAUACCCUGGGGUCAUGACGGUACCGUAAGAAUAAGCACCGGCUAACUACGUGCCAGCAGCCGCAGUAA
rnacentral:rRNA from 1 species